rnacentral:lncRNA from 1 species
GUUUCUGCUAAAGGAAUCAAAGAAAUAUCAGGCAUCAUGAUUGAUUUGGACUUUGAAAGCCAUUUCACUCACAUCUACAUUAUCUAACGAAGCACAACAUUUAAUACUAUUAACUUUACCAUGCCCUCAGAUCCCAGAGCUGAGGAAGAAGCUGAGAUGCAAGCUGCAACAUGUUGUAUUCAGACUUUUGUCACUUUCUGCCAGCACGACGAAGCCCAGCAGCGUGAAGGAUGGAAA